CAAGCGGUGGAGCAUGUGGUUUAAUUCGAAGCUACGCGAAGAACCUUACCAGGUCUUGACAUACUAUGCAAAUCCUAGAGAUAGGACGUUCCCUUCGGGGACAUGGAUACAGGUGGUGCAUGGUUGUCGUCAGCUCGUGUCGUGAGAUGUUGGGUUAAGUCCCGCAACGAGCGCAACCCUUAUUAUCAGUUGCCAGCAUUAAGUUGGGCACUCUGGUGAGACUGCCGGUGACAAACCGGAGGAAGGUGGGGAUGACGUCAAAUCAUCAUGCCCCUUAUGACCUGGGCUACACACGUGCUACAAUGGACGGUACAACGAGUCGCGAAGUCGUGAGGCUAAGCUAAUCUCUUAAAGCCGUUCUCAGUUCGGAUUGUAGGCUGCAACUCGCCUACAUGAAGUUGGAAUCGCUAGUAAUCGCGGAUCAGCAUGCCGCGGUGAAUACGUUCCCGGGCCUUGUACACACCGCCCGUCACACCAUGAGAGUUUGUAACACCCAAAGCCGGUGAGAUAACCUUCGGGAGUCAGCCGUCUAAGGUGGGACAGAUGAUUAGGGUGAAGUCGUAACAAGGUAACC
rnacentral:rRNA from 1 species